AAAAUUGGGCUCAUAGGCUCAUAUGUGGGCUCAUAUGGCAGUUUAUGUGGCGGGUCGGGUCAGGUCAGGUCAGGCUUGGACAGAAUGGCACAGGCUCAUUCUCUAAGCUCUAUUCACUGCUUUAAAACAUCAACAAAUAGAAAUGUCACAUGCAAAAUCAUUUUGAACACAGUGUGGACAUAAAACAUAUACUGAUACCCUCUUUGCAUACAGUGUGAAGCUACUGUUUACUGAGUUGUUUUCAAUCUGUCCUUCUGUUCCCACAGUGAAGGAGCUGAGAGUACAAGUUUUAGAGUUUGAAAGAAUGUGCAGAUACUCUGAAUGAGCAAAAAAAAAAAAAGAGGAACAAUAGGGCAACUUGUGAUGUUUCCAUUUUUGUCCAUUCACAGCUUGAGCAUGUGAUGUGCUUUCAUUUACUCUCUGCAGAGCUUAGAAGGGGAAAUUGUCUGUAUAUGUUUAUGAUGCGUAACUCUGCAUUCUAAGCUUUUUUGGUGUGAGAUCAGUCAGAAAAACUGCAGAGGAACAGAAGAAAUGCCCAACUUUACAUGACACACAUACGUACAGUACACACGCACACAGAGCACAUGGUACAAUUCCCAGCACAGAUUUGGCAAUAUCUACAGAUAACCAAAGCUGUAAUCAAAGUGGGGAAGGGCCUCAGGAAGAUUGUCCUGUGAAGACGUCUACUCAGCAGCCUAUUGGUCACAUAUUUGUAACAAUCUAGCAAGGCAGCAUGGUGACAUUGGGAUGAAAAACUUGUGUGCCUUAUAGACAUAAAUUAUACUUAUGACAAAAUAACAUUUUAAAACAUGGUCUAUUACAGAGGAUUUGUUUUGUGACAUUUUUGCCCAUUUAUGUAUGCAGAGGAUUGUGGGUAACCAAAGGCAAUGCACGAUACAUAAGUUGCAUCCUUAAAAUCCCUUUGAACAUCCGUUGCAUUCUACAGUUUUAUUCUAAGGGUCCUUCAGUUUGGAACUGCUUUUUAUGUCAUUGACAAUGUCAGUGUGUUUAUAGAGCACAUUUAAAAUAAUGUACGUAGACCAAAGUGCUGCACAGAAGGCUAAAAACAACUCAAAGAAACGAAAAGAAAAAAGCCAACAAAUAUGAGCAAGGACUAAGCAAGUAAAGCAAGGUGGAGAGAGGUAGAGUAAGGACAAAGUAAGGUAGAGUGAGGUAAAGUAAGGAAAAGUAAGUUAAAGCAAGGUAAAGAGAGGUAGAGUGAGGUAGAGUGAGGUAAUGCAAAGUAAAACAAGAUGGAGAGAGGUAGAGUAAGGACAAAGUAAGGUAGAGUGAGGUAAAGUAAGGAAAAGUAAGUUAAAGCAAGGUAAAGAGAGGUAGAGUGAGGUAGAGUGAGGUAAUGCAAAGUAAAACAAGAUGGAGAGAGGUAGAGUAAGGACAAAGUAAGGUAGAGUGAGGUAAAGUAAGGAAAAGUAAGUUAAAGUGAGGUAGAGUAAGGAAAAGUGAGGUAGAAUGAGGUAAAGCAAGGUAGAGUAAGAUAGAAUGAGGUAAAGCAAGGUAGAACAAGGUAGAGUGAGGAAGAGUGAGGUAUAGUCCGGCAAAUCAAUUUAGAGGGAGGUAGAAGGAAGUAUAAUGAGGUAGUGUGGUAAAGCACAGUAAAGUAAGGUAGAGUGAGGUAAAUUGAUGUAGAAUAAGGUUAGGCAAGGAAAAGCAAGCUAGAGAGAGGUAGAGUGAGGUAAUUUGAAGUAAAGCAAGGUGAAGAGAGGUAGAGUGAGGUAGAGUGGGGUAAUGCAAAGUAAAGCAAGGUGGAGAGAGGUAGAGUGAGGUAGAGUGAAGUAAAGCAAGGUGGAGUGAGGUAGAGUGAGGUAAUGUAAAGUAAAGCAAGGUGGAGAGAGGUAGAGUGAGGUAAUGCAAAGUAAAGCAAGGUGGAGAGAGGUAGAGUGAGGUAAUGCAAAGUAAAGCAAGGUGGAGAGAGGUAGAGUGAGGUAAUGCAAAGUAAAGCAAGGUGGAGAGAGGUAGAGUGAGGUAAUGCAAAGUAAAGGAAGGUGGAGAGAGGUAGAAGGAGGUAAAGCAAGGUAGAACAAGGUAGAGUGAGGUAGAGUCCGGCAAAUCAAUUUAGAGGGAGGUAGAAGGAAGUAUAAUGAGGUAGUGUGGUAAAGCACAGUAAAGUGAGGUAGCGUGAGGUAAACUGAGGUAGAAUAAGGUUAGGCAAGGAAAAGCAAGCUAGAGAGAGGUAGAGUGAGGUAAUAAGAAGUAAAGCAAGGUGGAGAGAGGUAGAGUGAGGUAGAGUGGGGUAAUGCAAAGUAAAGCAAGGUGGAGAGAGGUAGAGUGAGGUAAACCAGGGUAGAGCGAGGAAAGUAGAGUAAGGAAGAGUGAGGUAAAUUAAAGUACAGAAAGGGAAAGUAAGGAGGAAGACUGAUGCAGAUGGAACUAGAUGUCCAAAAUCAACAAACACCAAUCUAUUUCUUAUUCAGGAAAAACAGGUGCAGCUGAGACAAGUGCAGACAAAUGUCUGAGGAGCUCAAACUUAUUUAUCUCUUUAUUUAUCUAGUCUUUUAUUGUUAUCAGGACAUCCAUCAGCGUUUUCACAACCUGCAAAUAUUUUUAGCCUCCUCUGAGUGGUCAGAACAUUGUGCACAAUUGAACAUUAUGCUAUGUUUUGAUU